GACGAACGCUGGCGGCGUGCUUAACACAUGCAAGUCGAACGGAAAGGCCCUGCUUUUGUGGGGUGCUCGAGUGGCGAACGGGUGAGUAACACGUGAGUAACCUGCCCUUGACUUUGGGAUAACUUCAGGAAACUGGGGCUAAUACCGGAUAGGAGCUCCUGCUGCAUGGUGGGGGUUGGAAAGUUUCGGCGGUUGGGGAUGGACUCGCGGCUUAUCGGCUUGUUGGUGGGGUAGUGGCUUACCAAGGCUUUGACGGGUAGCCGGCCUGAGAGGGUGACCGGCCACAUUGGGACUGAGAUACGGCCCAGCCUCCUCCGGGAGGCAGCAGUGGGGAAUAUUGCACAAUGGGCGGAAGCCUGAUGCAGCAACGCCGCGUGCGGGAUGACGGCCUUCGGGUUGUAAACCGCUUUCGCCUGUGACGAAGCGUGAGUGACGGUAAUGGGUAAAGAAGCACCGGCUAACUACGUG
rnacentral:rRNA from 1 species